rnacentral:rRNA from 1 species
GACGAACGCUGGCGGCGUGCUUAACACAUGCAAGUCGAACGGAAAGGCCUCUUUCGGGGGGUACUCGAGUGGCGAACGGGUGAGUAACACGUGAGUAACCUGCCCUUGACUUUGGGAUAACUUCAGGAAACUGGGGCUAAUACCGGAUAGGAGCUCCUGCUGCAUGGUGGGGGUUGGAAAGUUUCGGCGGUUGGGGAUGGACUCGCGGCGUAUCAGCUGGUUGGUGGGGUAGUGGCUUACCAAGGCUUUGACGGGUAGCCGGCCUGAGAGGGUGACCGGCCACAUUGGGACUGAGAUACGGCCCAGACUCCUACGGGAGGCAGCAGUGGGGAAUAUUGCACAAUGGGUGGAAGCCUGAUGCAGCAACGCCGUGUGCGGGAUGACGGCCUUCGGGUUGUAAACCGCUUUCGCUCAUGACGAAGCUUUGUGUGACGGUAGUGGGUAAAGAAGCACCGGCUAACUACGUG